rnacentral:rRNA from 1 species
UACUCACGCUGGCGGCGUGCUUAACACAUGCAAGUCGAACGGAAAGGCCCUGCUUUUGUGGGGUGCUCGAGUGGCGAACGGGUGAGUAACACGUGAGUAACCUGCCCUUGACUUUGGGAUAACUUCAGGAAACUGGGGCUAAUACCGGAUAGGAGCUCCUGCUGCAUGGUGGGGGUUGGAAAGUUUCGGCGGUUGGGGAUGGACUCGCGGCUUAUCAGCUUGUUGGUGGGGUAGUGGCUUACCAAGGCUUUGACGGGUAGCCGGCCUGAGAGGGUGACCGGCCACAUUGGGACUGAGAUACGGCCCAGACUCCUACGGGAGGCAGCAGUGGGGAAUAUUGCACAAUGGACGGAAGCCUGAUGCAGCAACGCCGCGUGCUGGAUGACGGCCUUCGGGUUGUAAACCGCUUUCGCCUGUGACGAAGCGUGAGUGACAGUAAUGGGUAAAGAAGCACCGGCUAACUACGUG